rnacentral:ncRNA from 1 species
ACAAUAGAGGCGCAGGGAACAGGGUACUUUUGUCCGGAAUGGCGGAUCAUUCGAUGGGGCAGGGGGAAGGGGUUCCUUGCCGAAGGGGUGUGUGGUCCGAACGCAUGCUUCUGGGGGCUUUGUGUAAGCAAUGUCACUGUCAUGUUUUCUUCUGAGAGCAUGGAGCGCUAUUGGU